rnacentral:rRNA from 1 species
UACGUAGGGGGCAAGCGUUAUCCGGAUUUACUGGGUGUAAAGGGAGCGUAGGCGGCGAAGCAAGUCAGAUGCGAAAGCCCGGGGCUUAACCCCGGUACUGCAUUUGAAACUGUUUUGCUAGAGUAUCGGAGAGGUAAGUGGAAUUCCUAGUGUAGCGGUGAAAUGCUUAGAUAUUAGGAAGAACACCAGUGGCGAAGGCGGCUUACUGGACGAUAACUGACGCUGAGGCUCGAAAGCGUAGGGAGCAAAA